rnacentral:rRNA from 1 species
CUUAUUUUAUUUGAUGUAUUAGGAUUAUAACUAUGUUAAAUUAUAGAUAACAAUAAUACAAUAAGAAUAAGAUCUAUCAGUUAGUUGUUAAGGUAAUGGCUUAACAAGACUAUGACGGAUAACGGUAUUACUUUGUAAUAUUCCGGAGAAGGAGCCUGAGAGAUUGCUACUAAGUCUAAGGAUUGCAGCAGGGGCGAAACUUGACCUAUGAUAUGAUAUUGAGGCAGUUAUGAGUAGUAUUUUU